GGGUAUAAAAAGUUAAGUGCCACUAAGGAAAUACAAAUUGUAUUGAUGAUAAUAGUAUGAUUUUGUCACCACGCGUCGUUGUUUGUUUGGGCAAUUGCGCUCGUGUCGAUUAAGAAUGUAAUUUUUUAUACUCACAAUAGUUUUGAGCAAUCCUUCAUCUUUAGUAGGGAGUUGUGUGUUAACCUUGGGGAGCAACCGACAUUAAGAUUAGCAUCAUGGUCUGAUCGAAUUUACUUUCAUGGCAGUGAUUCGACACGGCACAACAAGUUAUUUUGAUCGUCAUCAACGAAAUUUUUACAACACGUCUUUAUUUCUGACGAAGCCGAAACCCAGCCGAGCCUUCACGUAUUUCUCAUCUGACGUUCGCACCAUCGUGUCUCUCCUCCAGAUGUUGAGGAGUGUUGCCGACCGAUCUAUCUUCAUCGUCUCUGUCUUUUUCGUCUAAGUCGUAACCCAGUUGAAGCUUGCCAUCGUCCAGAUCUGAGCCCUGUUGUGUCCAUCAAAGCACCGUCGUAAGACUCCCCAUCUUCCAGUCGUGGGUUGCAAGCUGACGUCCACUCCAUUUGUCAUUCAGAUCUGGUUUUGCAUGCGUCGAUUCCAUCUAUUUAGAGUUGCUGCCACUAUCUUGUUGUAAGUUUGUUUGAUAGUAAGAAAUUGUGGACUUUGUAAUGACGUUUCUUAGCUACCGUAAGCAUUAAGGUUGGAUUAAUUGAUUGGGUUUCGUUUGUUUUUUAAGGUGAUUUUGGAGAAGUUGGCUUGAAUCCUUGAGUUUCACACUAAGCUUCGUUUGGAGUCGAUUCUCCAUUUGCUUGGGUAAUUGUCAAAUUCACAUUUGGGUGAAUUAGAUAGAUGAUAUUAUUUGAAAAAAAAUGUUGAUUUUCUGUUGCUUAUGUUUAGGAUUGGUUUGUUGGGGUUAGUCCGAUCAAGAAGUUUAGGUAACCUUAAGUGUGCCUUGCAGGUGUCCCACUGGAUCACCACCUAUUGUGCAUCAUUUGGAGCACUAGACUGAUAGAUGCAUCCUUCGGGAGCACAAUACUGAUAUGUGCAUCGUUCGGGAACACAAGACUGAUAUGUGAAUCCUUUGGGAGAUUCAACUGAUUAUGUGCAUCCCACGAGAUCACGAGACUGUUAUGAUGCAGGGUACCUCCCAAUAGGAAGUUAAUAAUUUUUACCCCUAGCGGGACCAGUAGUGGGUCUCUUACUGGGUAUAUUUAUACACACUCUUUAUUGUUUAACUUUUACAAGCAAAGGUAAUACAAGAGGCAGACCGACGAGGGACAAGAAGGAGACGUGGUCGCCAUAUAGGGACCUAGCUUUUUCUUAAAACUUGCUUCCGCUUAUGGUUU